GAUGAACGCUGGCGGCGUGCCUAAUACAUGCAAGUCGAGCGAACGGACGAGAAGCUUGCUUCUCUGAUGUUAGCGGCGGACGGGUGAGUAACACGUGGAUAACCUACCUAUAAGACUGGGAUAACUUCGGGAAACCGGAGCUAAUACCGGAUAAUAUUUUGAACUGCAUGGUUCAAAAGUGAAAGACGGUCUUGCUGUAACUUAUAGAUGGAUCCGCGCUGCAUUAGCUAGUUGGUAAGGUAACGGCUUACCAAGGCAACGAUGCAUAGCCGACCUGAGAGGGUGAUCGGCCACACUGGAACUGAGACACGGUCCAGACUCCUACGGGAGGCAGCAGUAGGGAAUCUUCCGCAAUGGGCGAAAGCCUGACGGAGCAACGCCGCGUGAGUGAUGAAGGUCUUCGGAUCGUAAAACUCUGUUAUUAGGGAAGAACAUAUGUGUAAGUAACUGUGCACAUCUUGACGGUACCUAAUCAGAAAGCCACGGCUAACUACGUG
rnacentral:rRNA from 1 species